rnacentral:lncRNA from 1 species
CCGGGAGCUCUUUUGCUAGGGGUUUAGAGGCCGUUGCUCCGCUCCAGAAUGGAGGACUUACGGUCUCCUCACCCGCAACGCACGGUAGUGUUAUAUAGCCCGUAAUUACGGCUCCUGGAGCCGGAGUUUUUUUUUUUCAGUGUAAUCGGCCCGCAGGAUCACUCCAUUUUGCUUUGUCCUCUUUAUCUUGACUUUGUCUAUAAAUUUGAAUAAUCAUCCCGCAGCAUGGAAAAGAAGCUGAACAUGCAUUUCAAACUACCAUGCACAUGCGAAAUACAAACAUGGAUGGAAAUUGGACUCACCACAGUAGACUGACUUUGGAACCACGUGGGCCCGCUGACGGGGAUCUUCUGGGCGGACGUGGAGGCGGGGGCGGGGGCAGGGACGACGGUAGCCUCGCCGGCGCCGAGUUGACUUUGGUCGAGAAGCCCCGGAGCCGGGAGUCCUCGGCGAUCUGCCUCUCGGGGACGGACCAGGAGGCUCGUCGCUUGUCGACCGGCUUCAUCGACGAGAUCCGAACCUCCAGGCCGUUGUCGGUAGAUGUUCGUCGGCGGCGGCUUCCCGUCCGUCUCCACGAUGUUCAGCUUCCCCGGCUCCGCCGCGAAGUGGAUCUCCGUCUUGCUGAACUCCACCUUCCGCUGCUUCUUGUCCACCUCCGACGUCGGCGACUUCACCCGGGAGGCGUCCUCGUCCGAGAAGAUCUGCACGCUCGUCGGGCGGACGCUCUCGAAGUCGCCCGACGCCUUCGCCGAACAGUCCGACAAGAGGUCUUCCGUCGAGUUGGUCGACAGCUUGUCGGAGAUCGAGUUCAGCGAAAAACUGUUGAAAUCCGAGUCUGAUUCCCUACAACUAUCUCUUCCUUCGUCUACAGCAGGACUAGACUCCACUGAAACCGCCGUCCCGUUCGAGAACUGCCUAUGUAGAAGUGUCUUUGUCUUCGGCGUGUCUUCGACCGAAUUAACUUGAACUAUCGGUAUGGAAAUUGUAACCGGUUCCGACUUCCUCUUCUGAUCAAACACACUAAAAGUCGACGUCUCGCGUAAACUUCGCAGGGCUUCCUGUAUCUUUCCUCCUGGGAAAGACCUCCUGUGGCACUCGAAAGGCUGAUUGCCGUCACCUAGUGUCACCGUCGUCUUCCUCCCGAACUGGUUCGAAAACUUGGCUUCCUGGGUGUCGAGGAUAGACUUCGGCAUAACCUCGUCGUACUUGGAGAUGCCUAACUUGGAGGGCGCCGCCACUAUCUCGGAAGACCUGCAGAUUCCGCUAUCCGUCGAUGACUCCACCUUGGAGUCCUCUUUGAGACGGGAGUUCUCGCCGUUCUGGUUGUGCAUCUGCUCGAAGCCGUAGGACUUCCGGCGGUUGUACCAUUCCUCCGAGCGGCUGCCCGACGAGGUGCUGGACUUACUGGAGCUGCGGCUUUCCAAACUCCCGGUCCCGUUGAUUUUUGGUUUCUGCAACUGGAUCUCCAUGCCGAAGACGAAUGACUUGACUUUCCCCGGAGUGGGCGCUGGCGGGGUCUCCGGCUUCGUUUCGGUGACUAUGCCGUCGUCCGGUUCCGUCACUAUCGGGACAACCGGUUCCGGGUUCAACGGUUUUAAUUUCCCGCGCACCUCGUUUAAUGACUCCACUGUGAUGAAGGAAUCUUUUUUCUUGGCUGGUGUUAACUUCCUGCUCUCGGUGUUUUCUUUACUGCUAUCCUCAGCGUCGCUGAGCGGCUUGAUAGAAUCGUUGUCUAUAUCUCGUUUAAUCUUCAAUACUACACCCUCUAGUUCAUUCAGAUCUGACCAGGUCUUCGUGUGAACUUGUUUGAAAUUUGGCUUUGGGCUUUCCUCCGCUUUUUGCGCGAAGAACUGUAACGAUCGCCGCACUUUUGAGCCUCGUCGCCAGUUAGACUCACCGUCUUCAGACGUUUUGUCGUCCAGGUUCUGACUCUUCAUAUCCUCGAUGGAAUUGCUCUUUUGGCGGGUGAGGCUUCCGUGGGUUGAGGCAUCGUCGGGGACGUCUGAGUCACCAUUGGUGAUUUCGGUGAUCUUGAUGGAGCCUAGGGAGCUGGACUUCUGGGAGGAGGCGUCAUCACAGUCGGUGCUCUCGUGGAAGCCGUUCUCGAACAUCCGCUUCCCGAAGCUCGGGGUGUGGAAGUUGGGGAACUUGCCGAAAGAGUGCGUCGAGGUCUGUCGGUGGAGCUUCUCGCAGAUGCUCGAGAGCUCGGAGAGGCGACUAGAUGGUUCUUCGAUGUUGCGGGAGUUGAGGAUGGUGCUGCGAGGCCGCGUGGGCGGUCGCCGCCCGCCGAUGGAUCCGCUUCGUCCGAUGUUUACUUUCAUUUUCUGGGGCGUCAAAUCCAGAGGACUUGAGCUCAGCUGUGAACAGACGAGAACUUGGAGUUAGAAAAAUUUGAGGUGCUGACUCGAAUUGGAGACAAUAUAUCGAUGGCCAAAGUGCAAAACCACGUAUGUAUCUCCUUUGCGGUGGCUCAAAAUCUCUGCUCAUAUUUUAUUUACUCGAAGAGAUACAAGUCAACUUUAUAGCUUGAAAUUUAAACAUAGUAUUCUGCUGAUAGGAAAGAAAAAUCAGGGAAGUUUUAAAAAAUUAC